AAAAUUGGGCCAGUCGGAGAGAUUUUACUUCGCCGACGUCCAAUUUUGGGACCAAGAAAAAUAAAAGUAAAGUUAAAAAAAUGAAAGACGCCAAAAACACCUGGACGUCAGCCGUUGCUCACGUGUUUUGGAAAAGAGCCUCCAAUAGUCCACACGCCAGUGUCAAAGGUCAUUUCCUGUACAAGGUCUGGCGAGAUUGAAAUGAUUUCUGGAUGGAGCCUGAGCCUUCGGCAGCGGGGGGGUAGCAGGGAAGAGGGUUUAGGGAGGAGCUACAGAGCUGGUCAGGUUAGCCAGGACAGCAAAAAUGGCAAAUGGAUCCCCUCGGAGAAACCCGUGGGCGCUGAGACACAGGAGGGCUCUUCAUGAAGACUGCGGUGUGCCAGAUGUUCUUUUUUUAAAAUUAACAUUGUUCUCCAGGGGCUCCCUAAGUCAAGAUCUUUAAUGCCACAAUUUCAGGAGCGACGUAGUCAGUUCCAGGACUUUCCUACAGCGAGUCUGUGGAAAAUGAAGUGGGUGAAGGACACAUUGAUCCUUAAACUAGGCAUGUACCACAAAGUGAUUUUUUUUCAAGAAAGUCUUUUAAAGCAGGACUGAACUAAACCAAAUCAUGCCAUCGUAAUAGUCUCUCGGGCGAAACCAGCAAAGCCUCUCAGCCUUUCACACAAAACGUCACUGUACCGGACCAUAGUUUCACCGAACAGUGCCAUUGCUGAUUGCUUCGCUAAGUGCAUGCUCCCAAAUGUGCAGAGUUUCAUUUUGUCUCAUCUAAGAAAAAAAAAAUCAUUUUAUUUCAUGUAGGACUCAAGAGUUUAGCAAUGUGACUGAACUGUGUGUCUGAACACUCCAGGUUAAAAAAAAAAAGUGACCAAGACAUGAGACGGCGAUCAGAGACAUUUCUGCAGCACUGUGAUCAUUUGUCUCGCUGCCAGGGAGCGAACAGGACGUUCCCGCGCUGACAGGGGGGGGGGGGUGGAUUCUGCCUGUCACAGUUCAAAGUCAGUCUGGCUCUUCCUGACAGGGUGGGAUAAGUGUGCCGUCAGGGCAGUGGCAUACUGGCACACUUUGUCCACUUCAAAGAGGCCCAAAGAGGCACCACAGGGAGGUGACCAGGUGUGGGCACGUUCGCCCCCCCUCCGCUGGAGGCAGGCCCAGCUGGGGGGGCUGAAGACGGGGGACUUAGCAGCCACUUGUGAAAGUGUGCCUGGGCUCAAAGACCUCCAGCCUGGCGCAGCGAGAGCCAGUCCUUCCACCACGAGGAGCCAGCAGUCCCAGGACUCCUCGAGACCACGCUCCUUCAUUUCCCAGGCAAAUGCCUCCGAGCAGGGAGGGCGCGAAACGUCAUCUGUCUGUCCUUUCCAUAUUUGUUUUAGAAAAACAGAUCACGCCAGUACUGUAAGUCAUAAACCAGUACCGUCAAUGACUCCCUUUUCUUUUCUUUAAAAAAAAAAGAACGUGACUUACUGUAUCGGCAAAACAUUUGUUUAUGCAAAACAGCAGACCGUCGCUGGAUAGUAAACAUUAAAAUGUUCCUACCCCUGGGGCACCGGCCUUCAGAGCCCCUGCUGCCUUGUGUCAUGCCUGUCUGCAUUACCUGUUGCUGUGAGAGAUUGGGAUGAGAAAAAAAGAAGGCAAAACCUUCCAGAAUGGAUGGUCUGGGCAGAGCUGAAAUCCCGCCAGAAAAUGGCCAUGCAUGGUCUGGACGGGGAGAGGAGGAGUGGGAACUUCAGUGCGCUCCGAGGCGUGGCAGUGAGGCCCGGACCGCUGGGGCAGCUCACCCUGCCUUCCGAAUCUGCGCUGUGGAGUUGCAGCAGAGCCCCUGAGGACAUCCUGUGCUGUACAGUAUAUUGUUCAGAGGAGGAAAGAAUGCUAGAUGCUGGGCUUGAUUUAGUGGAACCGGGACUCUUUACUACUUUUUCCCUGAUGGAAUUCGUCCAUGAAACUUGAUGUUUCUCCUAAAUCACCUGCCCAUUUUUUUCUGUGCUUCUGGUGUGCAAGAAUGCAAGGGAGCUGAUCUGAAUGUACUGCGCUGCUUCUUGUCCGUGGAUUAACAUUAACUUUUUAAAAGGGCUGUCUGGGGUUCCCCCAGCCUUGCUGAAGACAUGCUGCCAAGUUUGAGCUUGAGCUGAGGAGCUCCACAUAAAAAAAACUGCAUUGCAGAUAGUGUUUUAAAAUGUGUCAGUGCCAAGUGUAUAUUGGGUUAGAGAAGCUCAUGCAUAAUGGCGAUUUAUUUAAAACAGCCAACCCAAUCAUUCCUCUAUUACAAUCAAUUCCAAAAAUUUAAAAAAUUUAAAUGUGAUAUGAGGGAUUUUGAGGAAAAAAAGGAAAGCCCUUUCAGCGGUCUGUAGAAAUGUUUGGCACUCUCAUCAGCUCUUCGUAUUUGGUCUUCUCUGUCCUUUGCCUGUCUUUUACUAUGGUCAUGGAGGCUUCUGUCUUCUCAACAGGGACCACCCACAUUUUUUAAAAGAGCAACGGUACAUUUUCGACACCCCCCUACUGUCCCAAUAAAAAUGUGAUUUCCCACCAUCCUCCCUCGGUUCACUUACCAGACUAAUCCCCUUCUUUAUGGGCUCAGUUAACCCGGCGGUUCGGAUUACCAGGAUUAAAUCCCCUGUUUGUCUCUGUGAAAGCCAUUAGGAAAGGCUAACAGAGUGACCUUGCCUUUCACCCCCUCAUACCUCUCCUUCCUGGGAACCCACUCCUCCCCUAUCUCCCUGUCCUCUUUGCUUGCUGUCCACACGUGGUCAUCACUGUCCAGCUCACUGCAGGACCCCUGGACUGGAGGAAUAACUGGAUGGGCAAGGAUAGAGAUGGGUAGAUGCAGAGCAAGGCAUGGGCUGUACAGCUAAAGAGUUUUCACACAUUGGAGGAAAUGGGAAACUGGUAAUAAACAGGUGGGAGUGUGGAUUAACCCAUCCUAAAAUAACUACAAAUGAAACUGAUCGUUGGUUCUAACUGUUCCUGUAACGAUCUGUUAUGAGUCUAACUCUCAACAUAUGUAGAAAAUGAAACUAAUGUACUGUACUUAUUGUGAAAGGGAAGGCUCUAAUUUUUGCUUAUCUAGGUGGAGAUCUUACAUGAAUUUCCUGUGAACAUCAGUGAACAAAUAAAUUGUUUUCCUACCAGAUAUUAUUACCUUAUUGUGCCUCUGGCAAAUCUUGUUGCUCAGAAUUUUCUCUGAGGAAGCAAAACCAGAACUGAGAGAUGGAAAGAAACACUAGCAGCUACUGUUUUAAGUGGAUUUCAAGAAGUUGGUCCUCAGUGUGGCAUUCCUGUAGGAACUGGACAGCUGGCUCUCUGUGGCUUCUGUCUGCCUCGCGAUUCGUCAGGCUGGUGCUGACUGGGAGCUCUCUGACCUCUGACCCCACACUGGGGGGCGCUAA